rnacentral:rRNA from 1 species
CCAGACUCCUACGGGAGGCAGCAGUGGGGAAUAUUGCACAAUGGGGGGAACCCUGAUGCAGCGACGCCGCGUGAGUGAAGAAGUCAUUUGUGAUGUAAAGCUCUAUCAGCAGGGAAGAAAAUGACGGUACCUGACUAAGAAGCCCCGGCUAACUACGUGCCAGCAGCCGCGGUAAUACGUAGGGGGCAAGCGUUAUCCGGAUUUACUGGGUGUAAAGGGAGCGUAGACGGCAGCGCAAGUCCGAAGUGAAAGCCCGGGGCCCAACCCCGGGACUGCUUUGGAAACUGUGAAGCUGGAGUGCGGGAGGGGCAGGCGGAAUUCCUGGUGUAGCGGUGAAAUGCGUAGAUAUCAGGAGGAACACCGGCGGCGAAGGCGGCUUGCUGGACGGUAACUGACGUUGAGGCUCGAAAGCGUGGGGAGCAAACAGGAUUAGAUACCCGCGUA